AUUGAACGCUGGCGGCAGGCUUAACACAUGCAAGUCGAGCGGAGAGAAGUAGCUUGCUACUGAUCUUAGCGGCGGACGGGUGAGUAAUGCGUAGGAAUCUGCCUAUUAGUGGGGGACAACAGUUCGAAAGGAAUGCUAAUACCGCAUACGUCCUACGGGAGAGUGCAGGGGAUCUUCGGACCUUGCCCUAAUAGAUGAGCCUAAGUCGGAGUAGCUAGUUGGUGGGGUAAAGGCCUACCAAGGCGACGAUCUGUAGCGGGUCUGAGAGGAUGAUCCGCCACACUGGGACUGAGACACGGCCCAGACUCCUACGGGAGGCAGCAGUGGGGAAUAUUGGACAAUGGGCGGAAGCCUGAUCCAGCCAUGCCGCGUGUGUGAAGAAGGCCUUAUGGUUGUAAAGCACUUUAAGCGAGGAGGAGGCUACUUUAGUUAAUACCUAGAGAUAGUGGACGUUACUCGCAGAAUAAGCACCGGCUAACUCUGUGCCAGCAGCCGCAGUAAUAC
rnacentral:rRNA from 1 species